CGCCAGUCCCGCUGCUGUUGUUGCUGCUGCAGUCACGUGGGAGCCCCUUUAAGUUUCCAUAGAGAGGCCUCUCCGGUGUCACAUGAUGGACAUGAUAUAAUGAAACAACAUUGUGGAGAGGAAAGCAUUAGGGGAGCCCACGGCUACAAAAACAAGUGAGUGAGAAGAGGUGGGAGGAAGAGAAACUACGCCACCACUCCUGCAGCCGGGCGCACGCAGCAGCCUGGCGUGACAAGUGGGUGACGCCGGGGGGGCAGGGAGCCGGGAGUCCUCAGCUCCGACCCGGGGACCCCGCCGCCCACCGCGCUGGAGAGCAACUUUUAGCCGGCAGCGCCUGCCAGCACUGCACCUGUCUCAGGAGUCUCCAUCGCUCCUCGUGACAAUCCCAGGGACCUUCUCGAAGCAUAAGCUGUACAAAUGUACGUGCGCAUCGUUUUCCCCCUCGGGCUCGCUCCGGAGCAAGGGACCAGAGGAGGGUCUCAGCGGCGUGGCUCAGCCCAGAGGGUUCUGGGGAGUGCGAGUAUUUUACCAUCUGGAGUUUCUCUGCAUUGCUGAUCCGAGCUCAGACCUGUCCGUUUACCAGAGAUGAUUGAUAAUACCCUGUGUCAGCUGAGUUGCAAAAAUAUCUGCCUCUAAUAACCCGCUCUGUGGGCGCGAAGGUUGGUGAGUCAGACCUGCGGGCUCGAAGAUGAGAAUCAUUUGAGCCUCUUCUUCUGUCAGGAGGUUUCCUAGGCAACCACUUAUGCAGUGAUUACAAAAACGAGGAACUAAAAGGCGAAAAAUGGAAGAAACAGAUGUACCUUUAAUGGGAGAAUAAACCACUGAACAGGACAAGUCCAGCCUGCGCUUGGGGAUCCUGUGUGUGACUGCCCCACGGUGAGUACAGAUGACCGCGAUUUCUGGUUUUCACCGGUUCUUGCGUCUGAAUUCCUAAACGGCAUUUCGUCUAAGGAAAAACAUGUAAAGAACAUUAUUUUCCUCGUACUUUCACUACAUAUCGCAUAUUUGUAGAAAAUACGUUUUGAUUGAUAUUAGUGAUAAAACAUAAUCUAACCCGUAGACAACAGUGCAAAUGAAAAUUCAUUUUGAUUGAUAGAUGGGACAGUGUAUUGAUGGACAUGAUGGGGUGUUUAAAACACAAGUGUGGAGAUUCCAGUAGAGUCUAGCAAACAAUAAUAUAACUGCUAACAGUUAACAAAAGGCAUGUGUUUCAGACAAGGAACAAUAUUUAUUUGCAGAGAAACUUGUGGUUUGUGAUGUUUUGGUUUUUUCCAAUAUUAUCAAAUAAGCUGAAAGUGUUUAAGAGUUUAAGAGGACAAAGAAAGGACAUUGAACAUGGAUACAAGAAAAAACUGAGAAAAGGUAGCUCUAAUAUUUAAAGUGUUUGAUUAUCACCUCUGUGGAAUGUCACCUCGAACUGUAUUCUUAAUGCAAAAUAAGUCUUUUUGCAAUAUAUAGUUAAUAGAGAAUUUGUGAUUCUCUUGGGAGGUGGCUGGGAGGAAGGUUGAGUCAGCCUGCUGGCACUGUUUGUUCCAUGUACUGCAUUAUGUCUGAAUGCCUUAGAGUGGUGUUCUUAACCUUUUCGGGGUACUAGACCCCUUUGAGCUGUGGAUGGGAGCCCUUGAUCCCUUUUACCGUGCUCACACGCAAGCCUUCACCUGAGUUUUUCAAGGCAUUCAGAGACCCAGCGAAGCGCAUCCACACCUCAGCAUAAGGACACCAACCUAGACUGACACCUUACUAUGAACUGUUCAUAAGCGUCCCACAAAACACUGCUAUUAAAAAGAGGCAUACAGGUCAGAAAGAAGUCAUUUUUGGUGGUUGCUAGAUGUGGAUGGCAAGCCAGAGAAAAGGACAAAGGGCGGAGAAAAUACAUGACUAAUAAUAAAUACAGAGAAUAGUUCAUAUUGUCUGAACCUCCAAACCAAUAGCUCAGAGUCCCUAAACGUUUAACCAUGCAUAUUUGAAAAAUAUUUUAUAAAUUCAAGUAGUAUUUAAGGCUCAACAUUAAGCACUUGGAGUGAGUUUUCCUUAUACAUAUUUUUGCUUAUGCUUUUUGAACUGUAUGAAACUAUGAAGUCUCUUUCUGUUUUUCCAUUGUGUAUCUUGCCAAAUUAGGUUAAGACAGCAGAUCAUCUUAACUCUAGAAAAAUGAUUUUCAAUGAUUCUAACACCCUAGAAAACUAAUUAUACAUUAGCAAAAGAGAUUUGGUGAGGAAAGAGAUAAGAUAGGUUAGUUGAACACAAAAGAAACACCAUUUAGAAAUAAGCUGGCUGUUAUUGUGCAGCGAUUAAAUUACAGGUUGAUACUAUGAGGCUGUUGUCGAAAAAGGAGAUAUGUUUCUUGGAUGUAUAAAAAGGAAUAUGAUGCAAAAGGGUAAGAAAACAAGGCUUUAUGAUAGUCAAACUCAUUGUGUCUGGGUUGAGUCACCCUUGAAAAAAAGAUUGUAUAAAAAGCUGAUACAUAAGCCACAGAAAUUACACAGCCUUCUAGGAAAAAGAUAAAGUAAGUGAGGGUUUUAGUUUGAAAAAGUCUGGAUGAUUUCUUACUGAUGGUCUUUAAAAGGAAAAGUCUGAUAUGUCCUUCUAGUCCCAGAGCCUGUGCUCAGUAAAUUGCAGCACUUUCAAUGACUCCUACAUUUAGGGAUGUAACUCUUCUCUGAUAGACUCAGCAAGAGCAAAUAGAUUCAAAUAAAAGCAAAGAGCAACUGUUAUGACAGAAGGUAUAUAAUAAAUGAAUUUGCUGACUGAUGAAUAGAGAAGAAAGACUACCUAGAUUGCCAAGCUGAUAAAGUAGUUGAGCGGCUUAGCUGAAGGAAGUUAUGACAUCUUUGAUAGUAUCUCUUUCAAGAUGAGCGUAAUUAACUCCAUUCUGGGUGGUGGACUCCCACAUGGCUGACCGUAGUUUGAGUCCUGGA